rnacentral:misc_RNA from 1 species
UCCGGUUUGUUUCCGGCGGUCUCCCUAGAUAUGCAACUAAGGACAAGGGUUGCGCUCGUUGCGGGACUUAACCCAACAUCUCACGACACGAGCUGACGACAGCCAUGCAACAUCUGUCUAUCCGUCCCGAAGGAGGCACUUCUUUCAAAGUGUUGCGAAUAGAUGUCAAGCCCUGGUAAGGUUAUUCGCGUCGCAUCGAAUUAAACCACACGCUCCGCUGCUUGUGCGGGUCCCCGUCAAUUCCUUUGAGUUUUAGUCUUGCGACCGUACUCCCCAGGCGGGCCACUUAAUGCGUUAGCUGCGGCACGGAAGGGGUCAACACCCCCCACACCUAGUGGCCAUCGUUUACUGCUAGGACUAC